rnacentral:lncRNA from 1 species
AGUCUUUUGGGGCGAUUGGGCCUUUCCCUGAGUUGGGUGUGCUUAAUGAACUGUUGGGCUCCGGGCAACCCUAAUUUGUUGGGCCUCAGCCAACCCCACCUAGGCUGGGUGCAUCAUCUGGUAUCAAAGGUAGGGCCCAUUUUAAGAAGGUGGGAAUGAUGAGGACAUCCUCCACUAUUACCCGUUGGCAAAGACGCAAUUGGCCCAGUUGGCCUAAUUGUAGUCGGACGGUGACCGUGUGAGCCUCAGAAUUAUCCCACCUCGCUUAACUUGGGAGGAGGAAGCCACUUUAAAAGGGAGAGCCACCCUUCCCCCAUUGGGCUAGUCUUUUGGCGCGAUUGGGCCUUUCCCUGAGUUGGGUGUGCUUAAUGAACUGUUGGGCUCCGGGCAACCCUAAUUUGUUGGGCCUCGACCAACCCCACCUGGGCUGGGUGCAUCAUCUGGUAUCAGAGCUAGGGCCCAUUUUAAGAAGGUGGGAAUGAUGAGGACAUCCUCCACUAUUACCCGUUGGCAAAGACGCAAUUGGCCCAGUUGGCCCAAUUGUAGUCGGACGAUGACUGUGUGAGCCUCAGAAUUAUCCCACCUCGCUUAACUUGGGAGGAGGAAGCCACUUUAAAAGGGAGAUCCACCCUUCCCCCAUUGGGCCAGUCUUUUGGGGCGUUUGGGCCUUUCCCUGAGUUGGG